CACCUCGUUUUAAGAGCAGAUGGGGCAGAGCUGGCAUUAGAUAAAAGCAUUAUCUGUGCCUGGGCAGAAGGGAUGGAUUCCAGUGACAGAGCACAGAAGUGAAAGCUUCAGAGCCAGAAAGAUCCUUCAAAUGGCAGAACCUCUGAGCAUGGCUCGUUGGGGCCCUUCCGUGCAGGAGCACGGCCCCCCAGCAGGGACGGGAGGUUGCCGGUAACAUGGAGAGCACACCGGCCACACACUCCAACCCUCUCUUUUACAAAGGUGGAUAUGGCCGCCCCAAGGGUAGGAGUGCGCCAACUCAGAUCUGGCCAAAAGGCAGUGGGAACCUUGUGUCUCCUAGAGAAGGGCCCCUUUGGGGGACUUGUGCUCUCUGUGGCCUCUUCUUGGAAAAACAGGGAAGGAACUGGAUGAGCCUUCUGCUGUCUUGCCUGGAAAAAAAAAAAAGCCUGGGAGGAAAACAAAAAUGAAAAUAAGAGUGACAUCAUGCAGGAACCGUGUGGGAACGUUGGCGGUGCCUUCUCAUAGUUAUGUGACCUUGGGCACAUUGCUCAACAGCUCUGGGCUGUGGAUGCUCACGUCUGAAGUGGAAAUGGAUCCUACCACCUACGUCCUACCACAGAAGGCGGCCGGGUGGUUACAGGAGAUCAGGAAAGAAAGCCAGCAGGCAGAAUGUUUAAAACUGAUGGACCCCAAUUUGGUAAAGGUGAUAGGAAAGUUGUUGUUGUUUUUUUUUAAGAUUGUAUUUAUUGGCAGGGGAGAGAGAGAGAGAGCAAGGGAAGGAACAGAGCAGGAGGGAGAGGGACAAGCAGACUCCGCACUGAGCUUGGACCCCAAGGAAGGGCUCGAUCCCAGAACCCUGAGAUCACAGCUUGAGCAGAACCAGGAGUCCGACACUCCACCGACUGAGCCACCUGGGUGCCCCGAUAGAAGAGUUCUCUAGAUUUCUCUUGAAACUUUUCUCCAGGAAGACACGGCCACCAGGGCCCGUCUUCCCAUGACGGCCUCUGCUGUAAACGCUGGUGACACUGAUGUAUUAAAAAAUAAAGAAGGCUGUUUGCCUCCAUGAGUUACCCUGACCCCGCGGCGAUGUGACUCGCAUAACAGCCACGGUGGCGGGUCCGUCGAGCAAACACGACAUGGAUGUCCUAGGAGUCACGGAAUCAAGUUGGACUUUACCUCCCGUCAUCCCCCGAGCCUCUCCCCAAAGCCCAGUGACCUUAAGAGCAUCUGCUGAAACCCUGUGGAGAUUAUUCAUAUGUUUUGAUUCCUAAUUCAGAAAUAAUAAGUGGUUCAUGGGUUCCAAGUUUAAAAAUACAUUCGUCAUCUGGUCUCUGUAGUCGAACAUAUCCCACUGGCUCGGGAAUUCACCCCAUGCAAGACUCCCCGCACUGGUCCGGUGCCCAUCUGGUCAUUGAGCCACAGGUGAUGGCACGGCCUGGCCUUACACCACCUCUUAUUCUUUUAUUAAAAACCCUAUUUUAAGGCCAUUGUCCAUAAGAGCCUUAAUUCCCCUGGACGGAAGAGCUAAGAGACUGGCAAACUCUAUGUCCAGCUCGCCCCCGACGAUUCCUCAGGACUGAGCACCCAUGCGCAUGAGAAAUGGGAAUUCCUGCUUAAUUUAAAAUCCACGCAUGUUCAUUACGGUGUGUUAAUGGCCAACAGGACCCAAGGCCAUCCUCACACAUUCCUUCAUUCCUUUUCCAGAAAGUUCU